rnacentral:pre_miRNA from 1 species
GCGUGUGGAUGGUGUUCAGAACCAAUGAUAGAUUUGUUUACCUAUGUGUAGAUGGUGUUCAGCACCAAGGACAGGUAGGUGACAUU